rnacentral:SRP_RNA from 1 species
GUCAGGCAUGGCGGCUACUGCCUAUUUUAGCUUCUGCCAGGGAGCCUCAGGCUGGUGGAUUUCCUGGGCUCAGGAGUUCUGUGCUACAGUGAGCUAAGUCUAUCAAGUGUCCCAACUAAGUAUGACACUGAUAUGGUGAGUCCCCGGAACAGGGAGCCAUCAGGUUACCUAAGGAAGUGUGAAGCCUCCCAGGUCAGAAAAAGGGGCAGGUAAAAGUUCCCAUGCUAAUCAGUGUGGGACCAGGCUCUUGAGUCAACUCUGUACUUCCAGGCUCGGAAAGAUAGGAAGAUCAAGUCUUA